rnacentral:rRNA from 1 species
GAUGAACGCUGGCGGCGUGCCUAAUACAUGCAAGUCGAGCGAACGGACGAGAAGCUUGCUUCUCUGAUGUUAGCGGCGGACGGGUGAGUAACACGUGGAUAACCUACCUAUAAGACUGGGAUAACUUCGGGAAACCGUAGCUAAUACCGGAUAAUAUUUUGAACCGCAUGGUUCAAAAGUGAAAGACGGUCUUGCUGUCACUUAUAGAUGGAUCCGCGCUGCAUUAGCUAGUUGGUAAGGUAACGGCUUACCAAGGCAACGAUGCAUAGCCGACCUGAGAGGGUGAUCGGACAGACUGGAACUGAGACACGGUACAGACUCCUACGGGAGGCAGCAGUAGAGAAUCUUCCGCAAUGGGCGAAAGCCUGACGGAGCAACGCCGCGUGAGUGAUGAAGGUCUUCGGAUCGUAAAACUCUGUUAUUAGGGAAGAACAUAUGUGUAAGUAACUGUGCACAUCUUGACGGUACCUAAUCAGAAAGCCACGGCUAACUACGUG